AUUUUGUAGGCUUGUUUUUUGCAAGCUUGUAUUGCUUGCUUUUUGCUGGUUUGCAUUUUGCAGGCUUGCUUUUUGCAAGCUUGUUUUGCUUGCUACAUUUUGCAGACUUGUAUUUUGCAGGCUUGCUUUAUUUUCUUGUUGUUGUCUUGCUUUUCCCUCUACAAAGCUUGCAGAAGUUGCAAGAUUUACCAUACAAUCUCUGGAAUCUACUUCAGGAUUUGUAUCUAGCUGAGAGUAUUCCCAGGCCUGAUCAAUUACAUCAUUAUUAGCAGUUUGGAGUUUGCAGUUUUCAGUUUGCAUGCUUGCUUUUUGCAGGUUUGCUUUACUUUCUUUUUGCAUGCUUGCUUUUUCCUCUAUAAAUCCUGCAGACAUUGUAAGAUUUAUUAUACAAUCUCUGGAAUCUUUAACAGAUAAUGGGGAGGUGUCGACUCUGAUGUCCACGGCCAGAAUUUUCUCCACUUCUCAUGCGAUACAUCAUCUGCAUGAGCAACAGCCUUCACACUUAGAUCACCCGAGUCCAAGCCUGACAUGUGCAUUAAAUUAACAGAUCUCCCUGCAUCCCCAUCACCUCACCGAUUGUCGGGGGCGCUUCCUUAGAAGACACCCCCAGCAAAACCGAUUGGGCCCGUCUCUCCUCCUCAUCGAACUCAGCAACCGCUUCCGUUCUCCUUUUGGGAACUGCCGCAAUCGGGACCUGAGCUUCGGACUGGAUUCUCGACGCCACCGCCACCGAUGUUGACUCCACUCGUUCUUGUUUAUCGUCUCUUCUUUGUUUUAUGAUUUUCUGCCUCUGUUUUAGACAAUCGAUUACUUUUUCCAACCAUAUGUUAAAUUCCUCAUUUGGCACUAACGUGUCCUUAUUGUCAAUUUGACUCCAAAAGACAGGCGGAGCCUCAUCAUCAGCCGUAGUAAGUCGAGUUCUGUGAAUAUCUUGGAAAUAUUUUAUUAGGUGUUUUUCUUCUAGCCAAUCAGGAUAAACCUCCAUAGACGUCUUCGGCUUCCUCGCCACUAGAAGUCUCCGCACACAAUCAAGCGCUAAUGAUUUUAAAUAGCUUAAUUCCUUCAGUUGGUAAGAUAAUAUCUUCCACCUUGGUUAGAUUUUUUUGCAAUAUUUCAGUCCAUUUUGCCAGAAUUUUCCUCUCCCUUGACUCUUUCACAUUGGGUACAGCAGAUUUUAAUUUUUCAACAGAAACAAAGUCCAUUUGCAUAUCAUAAUCGGUUUCAAAAUCAGUUUCAAAAAUUUCUGUGAGAAAUUCUAAUUCUACUUCUGGUUCAGAAAAAUCAGAGAGGGCGCUCUCUCUUCCUUUUGAUUUCUCCUCUCCUCUAUCUUCAUCAUUUUCUCCUUUAUUACUUAAUUGCUCAGCAAAGGUCAUUUGCCUAUUAUUUUCAAUUUCUUUAUCUAUAAUAAUACAUUCUUGUUCUGUUUGCUGAUUACCACCUUGAUUAAGUUCAAGAUCUACAAAACUUUGUUCUUGUAAUGUAUUCAGUGAAGGUUCCAUACAAGCCUCAGCAGCUUGUGCACUUUGUCUCACAGUUGUUUUACUAACAUGUACUGUCUCUUUAAGAGCACUUAAUUCCAAAGCUUCCAAUUCUGCAAAGCAUUUGUUAUAUUGUAUUACAUAAUUGUCUUUAAAUUUUCCCAAUAUACUUUUUUCUUUAUCAUAAGUGU